rnacentral:tRNA from 2 species
GUAUAGGGGCGGAUGUAGCCAAG